CCUACGGGUGGCAGCAGUCGAGAAUAAUUCACAAUGGGGGCAACCCUGAUGGUGCAACGCCGCGUGGAGGAUGAAGGUCCUCGGAUUGUAAACUCCUGUCAUCCGGGAGUAAGACCUGACGGUGAAUAGCCGGCAGGGUUGACAGUACCGGAAGAGGAAGGGACGGCUAACUUCGUGCCAGCAGCCGCGGUAAUACGAAGGUCCCGAGCGUUGUUCGGAAUCACUGGGCGUAAAGGGAGCGUAGGCGGCACGGCAAGUCAGAUGUGAAAUCCCGGGGCUCAACCCCGGAACCGCAUCCGAUACUGCCGUGCUUGAGUUUUGGAGAGGUAGCCGGAAUUCACGGUGUAGCAGUGAAAUGCGUGGAUAUCGUGAGGAACACUCGUGGCGAAAGCGGGCUACUGGACAACAACUGACGCUGAGGCUCGAAGGCCGGGGGAGCGAAAGGGAUUAGAUACCCCGGUAGUC
rnacentral:rRNA from 1 species